rnacentral:sRNA from 1 species
UAAUAGCCCUGAUUGAAGAGGAAAUCCUUAAUGUUAAAAAUAAUUUUAGCAUUAAGAUUGCAACAUAAAGCAGGAAUAAGA